rnacentral:lncRNA from 1 species
GCUGGGAUUAAAGGCGUGCGCCACCACGCCCAGCUCAAUCAUCUUUUUAGUGCAUCUCUUAUAAAUAUGAAUAGGCAUGGGUCAGUAAGAUUGCUCACCAAGUACGGGUACCUUUACCACCAAACCUGGCCAAUGGAAUUCAAUCCCUCAGAUCCCACAUGAUAGGAGAAGAGAACCAACUUCUGCAAGUUGUUCUCUCACCUCAACAUGUGGCUAUGGCACAUGCAACUCUCUCCAUAAAUAAAUAAAUAAAUAAAUAAAUAAAUAAAUAAAUAAAUUUUAAAAGCUUUUCUAAGAACUGGAGAAAUUAUGUAGCAUUUAGCUUUUCUUGCUCUUUGAGAGGACCAGAGCCCAAUUCUUGGUAGCUACAUAGUGACUUUCAACUAGAGCUCUGCUUCCAGAGGAUCUGAUGUCUUCUGGCCUCUGUGGGUACCAGGCAGUCGUGUGAUACACAUGCAUGCAUGCAUGCAGACAAAAAAUACACAUAAAAUAUUUUUUAAAAUGUUUUUUAAUGAGCAUUCAUAGGGCUGGAGAGAUGGCUUAUAGGUUAAAAGCCCUGAUUGCUCUUAGGUUAGAGUUGGUCCUCAGGACUCAGCUCAUAACUACCUGUAACUCUAGAUUCAGGAUAUCUGAAACCUCUGGCUCCUUGGGGAUCUUCACUCAUAUGCACAUACUGACACACACAUACACAUACAUGUGAUCAAAAAUAAAAGUGGAUCUCAAAAAAUGGAGAGGCAACUAAACCUUACUUACUCUACCAGGAGGCCCAAGUAAACACAGAGAAAGGAGAUAUACAGAUAUCAUGUAAGG